UGCACUAAAAAGCUUUGGGGUGGUCCACCAGACCUCAAACCAGAUGUGAUGCUGGUGAACCACAAAUCAAGAGUUAUUGAUUUUGGUUGGUCUCUCAUGACCUCACAGGACACACAUGAACUCCCAGCUCCUUGGUUACAGGCCUCCCUGUCCCAGAGGCCAUCAAUAUGUGGGAUGUUGGAUGCAUGCUUUUUUUCCUCUACCUCCCCAACAACUCAUUUGCAAUCGACUGCGAGUACCAGGAAGAGAAUUAAUGUUGGAUGUCGGCUGGGGAAGAGCCCAGGGUGGAGGAGGCUUCAGCCAUACCACUGUUAGAUGACACAGACUCAGCUGCUCCUCACUCCAGUGACAGGGUUGAAGUCCUGGAUCCCCCAUGUGAUGGGACUGCAGCUGCAGACAUUGAUGCUGCUGGCUCAACUUCAGAGGAAUCAGCUGAAAGCCACCACGUACCUGAUCCAGCUCAAGAGAUACAGAUCUUUGAAGAGACUCAUCCUGCCAGAGUCAGCAGUCUGAAGAGGAUGAGGAUGUUUCUGGGCAGGGUUGUAAAGUGUGGAAAGAGAGUGUUCGGAUACAAAGGAACCUGGACGAUGGCACUCAAUUUAAACAAUUGUAAAUAGUUUAAAUGGUGUAAAUGAAGUGUGAAGUUGCAUUUUCAUGUAGUUUUGUUUAACCAACUAUUUUAACUCUAUUUUUUUUUU